UACGUAGGGUGCAAGCGUUGUCCGGAAUUACUGGGCGUAAAGCGUGCGCAGGCGGUUGUGUAAGUCUGACGUGAAAUCCCCGGGCUUAACCUGGGAAUGGCGUUGGAGACUGCACGGCUAGAGUGUGUCAGAGGGGGGUAGAAUUCCACGUGUAGCAGUGAAAUGCGUAGAUAUGUGGAGGAACACCGAUGGCGAAGGCAGCCCCCUGGGUCAAGACUGACGCUCAUGCACGAAAGCGUGGGGAGCAAACAGG
rnacentral:rRNA from 1 species